UACGGAGGGUGCAAGCGUUGUUCGGAAUUACUGGGCGUAAAGGGCGCGUAGGCGGCGCAUUAAGUCAGAUGUGAAAGCCCACGGCUUAACCGUGGAAGGGCAUCUGAAACUGGUGAGCUUGAGUACUGGAGGGGGAAGUGGAAUUCCCGGUGUAGAGGUGAAAUUCGUAGAUAUCGGGAGGAAUACCGGUGGCGAAGGCGACUUCCUGGACAGAUACUGACGCUGAGGCGCGAAAGCGUGGGGAGCAAACAGG
rnacentral:rRNA from 1 species